rnacentral:rRNA from 1 species
UACGUAGGGUGCAAGCGUUGUCCGGAAUUAUUGGGCGUAAAGAGCUCGUAGGCGGUCAGUCGCGUCUGCUGUGAAAACUCGGGGCUUAACUCCGGGCCUGCAGUGGGUACGGGCUGACUAGAGUGCGGUAGGGGAGACUGGAAUUCCUGGUGUAGCGGUGAAAUGCGCAGAUAUCAGGAGGAACACCGGUGGCGAAGGCGGGUCUUUGGGCCGUAACUGACGCUGAGGAGCGAAAGCGUGGGGAGCGAACAGG